rnacentral:lncRNA from 1 species
UAUUAUCUCUUGCCUCAUCUUUUUUUUUUGAUAAAAAGUUUAAAUAAACUUAGCCGGAAAUAAACUUUUUUUUUGGUAAAAAGUUUAAACUCUAGCAUGCUAACUGCUUCGUUAUUAUAAAUAAACUUAGCUGAAAAUGUGAAUCAAUUAGAAUUCGAACUUAGAUCUCGAGUACCAACCAUCAAGCUUUUUGCCGCUCUAGAGACGGUUGGUUUUACAGGUGUAAAAUUUAAAUUUAAUUUGUAUGGAG